AUGGAUUCUAUCUCCUAUAAUCAGACUCAAACCGGAAGUGUCUCAAGGGAAAGAGAGAGGUGUGGGUGGAGGAAGAAUUCAAAGAGUGUUUCAGCUGCAGUCAUGUCAUUAAUACAACUUCUGAUCCACACCUCACGCUCCUUUUAUUCAAAGAAGCUACCCAGUUGUUACCUACUUCAAGAUGAAAGCCCAGCACCAGUGGAAGCCAUCAAGGCUUGGGGCUUACACCUUCUGGAGCCACAGCCCAAAGUGUACCUUGGCUCUUUUUAGCCAUGACUGGAGCUAGAGCAGCUGGGAUAGAGGGCACUAAGUCCCAAAACUGCACAGAGCAGCAGGGCUCUGGACCUGGCCCACGAAGCAAAUUUACCCUCCUAGACCUCCAGGUACAUGAUGGGAGGGCCUGCUGGGAUCAUCUCUGGCAUGCUCUGGAGACAUUUUCCCCAUUGUCUUGGCUUUUAACAUUCAGGUCCUUGUUACUUAUGUAAAUUUCUGCCACUGGCUUUAAUUCUUGCUCAGAAAAUGGGUUUUUCUUUUCUACCACAUGAUCAGGCUGUAAGUUUUCCAAACUUUUAUGCUCUGCUUCCCUUUUAAAUAUAAAUUCCAAUUUGAAACCAUCUCUUUGUGAAUGAAUAUAACUGAAUACUUUUAGAAUAAGUUAACUUACCUCUUAAAUGCUUUGCUGCUUAGAAAUUGCUUCUGCCAGACAUCCUAAAAUGAUUUCUCUCAAGUUCAAAGUUCAACAGAUCCCUAGGAAAGGGAUAAAAUGUCGCCAGUCUCUUUGGUAUAGCAUGGCAUGAGUGACCUUUAGUCCAGUUCCCAACAAGUUCCCUAUCUCCAUCUGAAGCCUCCUCAGGCUCAAUUUCAUUGUCUAUAUAAUUUUCAACAAUAUGGUCAAAAUUACUCAACAAGUCUCUAGGAAGUUGCAAACUUUUCCUCAUCUUCCUAUCUUUUUCUGAGUCCUCUAAACUGUUCCAACUUUAGCCUGCUAACCAGCUCCAGAAUUGCUUCCACAUUUUCAGGUCAUCUUUAUGACAGUACUGCACUCUGCUGGUACCAAUUAUUUGUAUCAGACCAUUUUUCACACUGCUAUAAAGAUACUACCUGAGACUGUGUAACUGAUAAACAAAUGAGGUUUAAUUGACUCGCAGUUCCCCAUGGCUUUAGAGGCCUCAGGAAACUUACAGUUAUGGUGGAAAGUGAAGGGGAAGCAAGGUAUUUCUUACAUGGUGGCAGGAGAGAGAGUGCACUCGGGAAACAGCAAUUCUUAAAACCAUCAGAUCCCAUGAGAAUUCCUUCACCAUCACGAGUACAGCAUGGGGAAAACCAGCCCCAUGAUCCAAUCACCUCCUACAAGGUCACUCCCUUGAUAUUUGGGAAUUAUAAUUUGAGAUGAGAUUGGGGUGGGGAUACAAAGCCAAAUUAUGUCAACAUGAAAUUUAACAUAUUCACAGGUUCCAUAUUCACAGGUUCCAGGAAUUAGGACAUGAGCACUUUGGUGGGUGGAGGGGUGUGCUUUAAUUCUGACUGCUACAAGUGUACUGUAGAGCAUAUUCAAGUAGGUGCAGCAGCUUAUUAAAAUGGCCUUAGCUAAUAAUAUUGACCAUGGUUAACCUUAUGACUUCUCAGCUGCUUGUUUGUUGUUGUUUAUUUUUAUAAAAAGUUUUUCACUGUUAGGCCAAUACAAAGUUUCCAUUUUUGUUGUUUGAAAAUGAAAAUGUAUACUUAUUAAUUUAAUUUUUUUCCUGUUCUGGGUUAAAGGUAGAAGUAGCAAAUUUAACAUGUACUUAAAUGUAAAAAUUAGAAGAAUAAAAAGAAGAGUUUGUACCCA
rnacentral:lncRNA from 13 species